ACGAACGCUGGCGGCACGCUUAACACAUGCAAGUCGAACGAGAGAAGAGAAGCUUGCUUUUCUGAUCUAGUGGCGGACGGGUGAGUAACACGUGAGCAAUCUGCCUUUCAGAGGGGGAUACCGAUUGGAAACGAUCGUUAAUACCGCAUAACAUAAUUGAACCGCAUGAUUUGAUUAUCAAAGAUUUAUCGCUGAAAGAUGAGCUCGCGUCUGAUUAGCUAGUUGGUAAGGUAACGGCUUACCAAGGCGACGAUCAGUAGCCGGACUGAGAGGUUGAUCGGCCACAUUGGGACUGAGACACGGCCCAGACUCCUACGGGAGGCAGCAGUGGGGAAUAUUGCACAAUGGAGGAAACUAUGAUGCAGCGAUGCCGCGUGAGGGAAGAAGGUUUUAGGAUUGUAAACCUCUGUCUUCAGGGACGAAAAAAGACGGUACCUGAGGAGGAAGCUCCGGCUAACUACGUGCCAGCAGCCGCGGUAAUACGUAGGGAGCGAGCGUUGUCCGGAAUUACUGGGUGUAAAGGGAGCGUAGGCGGGAUCGCAAGUCAGAUGUGAAAACUAUGGGCUUAACCCAUAAACUGCAUUUGAAACUGUGGUUCUUGAGUGAAGUAGAGGUAAGCGGAAUUCCUAGUGUAGCGGUGAAAUGCGUAGAUAUUAGGAGGAACAUCAGUGGCGAAGGCGGCUGACUGCGCUUUAACUGACGCUGAGGCUCGAAAGCGUGGGGAGCAAACAGGAUUAGAUACCCUGGUAGUCCACGCCGUAAACGAUGAUUACUAGGUGUGGGGGGACUGACCCCUUCCGUGCCGCAGCAAACGCAAUAAGUAAUCCACCUGGGGAGUACGACCGCAAGGUUGAAACUCAAAGGAAUUGACGGGGGCCCGCACAAGCAGUGGAGUAUGUGGUUUAAUUCGAAGCAACGCGAAGAACCUUACCAGGUCUUGACAUCCGAUGCAUAGCGCAGAGAUGCGUGAAGUCCUUCGGGACAUCGAGACAGGUGGUGCAUGGUUGUCGUCAGCUCGUGUCGUGAGAUGUUGGGUUAAGUCCCGCAACGAGCGCAACCCUUACUGUUAGUUGCUACGCAAGAGCACUCUAGCAGGACUGCCGUUGACAAAACGGAGGAAGGUGGGGAUGACGUCAAAUCAUCAUGCCCCUUAUGACCUGGGCCUCACACGUACUACAAUGGCUGUCAACAGAGGGAAGCAAAGCCGCGAGGUGGAGCAAACCCCUAAAAGCAGUCUUAGUUCGGAUUGUAGGCUGCAACCCGCCUACAUGAAGUCGGAAUUGCUAGUAAUCGCAGAUCAGCAUGCUGCGGUGAAUACGUUCCCGGGCCUUGUACACACCGCCCGUCACGCCAUGGGAGUCGGUAACACCCGAAGCCUGUAGUCUAACCGCAAGGAGGACGCAGUCGAAGGUGGGAUUGAUGACUGGGGUG
rnacentral:rRNA from 1 species